CAUGCAAGUCGAACGAAGUAGCAAUACUUAGUGGCAGACGGGUGAGUAACAUGUAGGUAUCUGCCCUUUGGCCUGGAAUAACACGAGGAAACUUGUGCUAAUACCGGAUAAGUCUUUACGGAGAAAGCUUUAUGCACCAUUGGAUGAGCCUGCACUUGAUUAGUUUGUUGGUAGGGUAAUGGCCUACCAAGACUGUGAUCAAUAGCUGAUUUGAGAGGAUGAUCAGCCACAUUGGGACUGAGACACGGCCCAAACUCCUACGGGAGGCAGCAGUGGGGAAUCUUGCACAAUGGAGGAAACUCUGAUGCAGCGAUGCCGCGUGAGUGAAGAAGGCCUUUGGGUUGUAAAGCUCUUUCGUCGGGGAAGAAAAUGACUGUACCCGAAUAAGAAGGUCCGGCUAACUUCGUGCCAGCAGCCGCGGUAAUACGAAGGGACCUAGCGUAGUUCGGAAUUACUGGGCUUAAAGAGUUCGUAGGUGGUUGAAAAAGUUGGUGGUGAAAUCCCAGAGCUUAACUCUGGAACUGCCAUCAAAACUUUUCAGCUAGAGUAUGAUAGAGGAAAGCAGAAUUUCUAGUGUAGAGGUGAAAUUCGUAGAUAUUA
rnacentral:rRNA from 1 species